UACGGUCAAGUCACGCUGAAACACCGGUUCUCGUUCGAUCACCGAAGUUAAGCAUCGUAGAGCCAGGUCAGUACUUAGAUGGGGGACCGCUUGGGAACACCUGGUACUGUAAG
rnacentral:rRNA from 1 species